AUGAAGUGGCUGAGCUGGGACUUGAACAGAUGCCCCUGGGAUGAGUUACAUUCGUGUAUUUGAGAAGAUUAGAAAAAUAGAGAAAAGCAUAGAAAAGAAAGGAAGACUCAUCUUGUCUCCCAUCACCCUGAGUUACAGUGAGGACUUGGUGGGCUGCCUUCUGUACUCUUACCCCUCGUGCCCUCCAGAUCCAUGCCCUGUGCUGCUCUGUGCCUGCAGCCUCAUCAACAGGCCCUGUGUCCUCUUAUAUGGCUGGGUUUGGCCACUUGGAAGGCCUGGCAGAAGGAAGGAGAGGAAAGUCAGUGAAAUUGUUCCCCUGGCACCCUCCCUGCAAGGUCACCUUGCUGCAGAUCACUACUGCUCUCAAGACUCAGGAGCCUAAUGAGACACUGUCUCCUGCCGCACUCUGCAUACUAUCCCUUACUUCCCUCCUGUAAGUGUAAGGAUGGUAAGGCCCUAGCAACUGUGCUAUUGGUUGUGCCCCUACCCACCUGCACUUUUGUAAAUAAUCCCUCCUCAGGUCAUCCUAUGUUGAGCAUGCCAUCUGUUUUCUAUUGGGAAUCUGAUUGAUUUACUUCCUGACUCACUGACAUUUCAGGCCUUUCCCCUAAAGCUCUCAUUGCCAUGAGUUUUCCCGAGGUUUCCAAGCCAUGCAUGGUAUCUAGAAUAAACGUGGGGGUCCCGAGGAGAGAAGGCCUCUA
rnacentral:lncRNA from 13 species